rnacentral:piRNA from 1 species
UAUCUUAGCCGGACUCUUAAAGCGUG